rnacentral:rRNA from 1 species
AGUAAUACAUAAGUAACCUGCCCUAGACAGGGGGAUAACUAUUGGAAACGAUAACUAAGACCGCAUAGGUACGGACACUGCAUGGUGACCGUAUUAAAAGUGCCUCAAAGCACUGGUAGAGGAUGGACUUAUGGCGCAUUAGCUGGUUGGCGGGGUGACGGCCCACCAAGGCGACGAUGCGUAGCCGACCUGAGAGGGUGACCGGCCACACUGGGACUGAGACACGGCCCAG